CCUACGGGAGGCAGCAGUGGGGAAUAUUGGGCAAUGGGCGCAAGCCUGACCCAGCAAUGCCGCGUGAAGGAAGAAGGCUUUCGGGUUGUAAACUUCUUUGACAGGGGAAGAGCAGAAGACGGUACCCUGAAAACAAGCCACGGCUAACUACGUGCCAGCAGCCGCGGUAAUACGUAGGUGGCAAGCGUUGUCCGGAUUUACUGGGUGUAAAGGGCGUGUAGCCGGGAAGGCAAGUCAGAUGUGAAAUCUGGAGGCUCAACCGCCAAAUUGCAUUUGAAACUGUUUUUCUUGAGUACUGGAGAGGUAGACGGAAUUCCUGGUGUAGCGGUGAAAUGCGUAGAUAUAAGGAGGAACACCAGUGGCGAAGGCGGUCUGCUGGACAGCAACUGACGGUGAGGCGCGAAAGCGUGGGGAGCAAACAGGAUUAGAUACCCCUGUAGUC
rnacentral:rRNA from 1 species